GCAGUCUUUUUACAGUUAUCACACAGUAAUGGUUGGAGCAGACUUUUUACAGUUAUCACACAGUAAUGGUUGGAGCAGUCUUUUUACAGUUAUCACACAGUAAUGGUUGGAGCAGUCUUUUUACAGUUAUCACACAGUAAUGGUUGGAGCAGACUUUGUGGAAUGGUAUCAAAUACAUCAAACACAUGGUUUCCAUGGUUUCCAUGUGUUUGACGCCAUUCCAUUUGUGGCGUUCCGGACGUUAUUAUGAGCCGUCCUCCCCUCAGCAGCCUCCUGUGUACGGUACAUAGGGUAUGUGUGGGAAUAGCUGAGCCAUAUCAGAACUGUUAGAACACUACUUUAACCAGACCAGAAGUUCUGAACUGACUAGAAAACACAGGGCAUGAAGACUGCCAUAUACAAACAAAUUACCAGCUGACCUAGCAUCAUUUAAAUAAAGAGAAGAAUUAUUGAAUGAAUCAGCAGCUGUCCAUGUAAGCUGUGUAGUGUACAGUAUAAUAUUUACAUGCGUAAUAUCAUAGAAGUAGCAUAUAGCAGGAGUUACAAACAUGAUUGUUCUGAAUAGUUACAGAGAAUUCCAUAAGCCGGUCGGGAUGUUGACAUGACAACCUGUGUUCUGUUUUUACCCUGGUCCGCCAUGUGGAGAGAGAGAAGGACUUUAACAAGGUCUGUCACUCUGUCCGCUUUAAUGAAAUGAUAGGCCGUAUAUAUAGAACAGGACGGCCCUCUGCUUGUGGGAAAUAAAAUGAUUUAUGGUCUGGCUCGAGCACUAAGCUAAAUUGCACUGCAAUGCUGCUGCUGUACACAGCCAGCCCUGCAGCUCAGACAGAGCAGGGCAGUGACUGAGGACACGUUCCAAAUGGCACCCUAUUCUCUAUAUAGCGCACUACUUUUGACCAUGGGUCCUGGUCAAAAGUAGUAAACUAUAAAGGGAAUAGGGUGCCGUUUGGGACGCAUUGUGAAGCUCUCCCAACGGAACUGUUUUAAUACAUAACUGCAGCCACCAAUUGAUUAAGACCACACUUCUCUUCUGACAGGUCUCACUCCUCCCCUAUCCCUCCGACAAUCAUCUAUUUUCUAUGCUAUACAUCUCUAUGUGAAGGUGCUGUAACGCUGCACCCUCCUGAACAGGGCCCAGUGAAGCUGGAUAGGUUUCAGGAGCUAACAGGGUGACCAUAAGUUCCCCAUCUGUUAGAGGAGACAUGGGACGGGGUGGGAGGUUCAUCCACUCUCCUCUACAACUCAGCAGAAUGAUUCUAUGCAUCUUCUAUCUCAGCGGCUCUCUCUGUGUCCCAGCUGUCCUGGCAUCGUGUAAAGGUUGUGCUGCUUGUCUUUCUCUCUCUGUGUCCUAGCUGUCCUGGCAUCGUGUAAAGGUUGUGCUGCUUGUCUUUCUCUCUCUGUGUCCUAGCUGUCCUGGCAUCGUGUAAAGGUUGUGCUGCUUGUCUUUCUCUCUCUGUGUCCCAGCUGUCCUGGCAUCGUGUAAAGGUUGUGCUGCUUGUCUUUCUCUCUCUGUGUCCUAGCUGUCCUGGCAUCGUGUAAAGGUUGUGCUGCUUGUCUUUCUCUCUCUGUGUCCCAGCUGUCCUGGCAUCGUGUAAAGGUUGUGCUGCUUGUCUUUCUCUCUCUGUGUCCCAGCUGUCCUGGCAUCGUGUAAAGGUUGUGCUGCUUGUCUUUCUCUCUCUGUGUCCUAGCUGUCCUGGCAUCGUGUAAAGGUUGUGCUGCUUGUCUUUCUCUCUCUGUGUCCUAGCUGUCCUGGCAUCGUGUAAAGGUUGUGCUGCUUGUCUUUCUCUCUCUGUGUCCUAGCUGUCCUGGCAUCGUGUAAAGGUUGUGCUGCUUGUCUUUCUCUCUCUGUGUCCUAGCUGUCCUGGCAUCGUGUAAAGGUUGUGCUGCUUGUCUUUCUCUCUCUGUGUCCUAGCUGUCCUGGCAUCGUGUAAAGGUUGUGCUGCUUGUCUUUCUCUCUCUGUGUCCUAGCUGUCCUGGCAUCGUGUAAAGGUUGUGCUGCUUGUCUUUCUCUCUCUGUGUCCUAGCUGUCCUGGCAUCGUGUAAAGGUUGUGCUGCUUGUCUUUCUCUCUCUGUGUCCUAGCUGUCCUGGCAUCGUGUAAAGGUUGUGCUGCUUGUCUUUCUCUCUCUGUGUCCUAGCUGUCCUGGCAUCGUGUAAAGGUUGUGCUGCUUGUCUUUCUCUCUCUGUGUCCCAGCUGUCCUGGCAUCGUGUAAAGGUUGUGCUGCUUGUCUUUCUCUCUCUGUGUCCUAGCUGUCCUGGCAUCGUGUACAGGUUGUGCUGCUUGUCUUUCUCUCUCUGUGUCCUAGCUGUCCUGGCAUCGUGUACAGGUUGUGCUGCUUGUCUUUCUCUCUCUGUGUCCCAGCUGUCCUGGCAUCGUGUAAAGGUUGUGCUGCUUGUCUUUCUCUCUCUGUGUCCUAGCUGUCCUGGCAUCGUGUACAGGUUGUGCUGCUUGUCUUUCUCUCUCUGUGUCCCAGCUGUCCUGGCAUCGUGUAAAGGUUGUGCUGCUUGUCUUUCUCUCUCUGUGUCCUAGCUGUCCUGGCAUCGUGUAAAGGUUGUGCUGCUUGUCUUUCUCUCUCUGUGUCCUAGCUGUCCUGGCAUCGUGUAAAGGUUGUGCUGCUUGUCUUUCUCUCUCUGUGUCCUAGCUGUCCUGGCAUCGUGUAAAGGUUGUGCUGCUUGUCUUUCUCUCUCUGUGUCCUAGCUGUCCUGGCAUCAUGUACAGGUUGUGCUGCUUGUCUUUCUCUCUCUGUGUCCUAGCUGUCCUGGCAUCGUGUACAGGUUGUGCUGCUUG